rnacentral:rRNA from 1 species
AGAGUUUGAUCCUGGCUCAGAAUCAACGCUGGCGGCGUGCCUAACACAUGCAAGUCGAGCGAGAAAGGGAACUUCGGUUCCUGAGUACAGCGGCGCACGGGUGAGUACAACGUGGGUAACCUGCCUCGGAGUGGGGAAUAACACCGGGAAACCGGUGCUAAUACCGCACACGACCACGGCCUCUUCGGAAGCUGUGAUGAAAGGUUUUAAUCGCUCUGAGAGGGGCCCACGCCCGAUUAGCUAGUUGGUGAGGUAAUGGCUCACCAAGGCAACGAUCGGUAGCCGGUCUGAGAGGACGGUCGGCCACACUGGAACUGAGACACGGUCCAGACUCCUACGGGAGGCAGCAGUGGGGAAUUUUUGACAAUGGGGGAAACCCUGAUCAAGCAACGCCGCGUGGAUGAUGAAGUAUCUCGGUACGUAAAAUCCUUUCGACAGGGAAGAAGCCUUCGGGUUGACGGUACCUGUAGAAGAAGCCCCGGCUAACUCCGUGCCAGCAGCCGCGGUAAUACGGGGGGGGCAAGCGUUGUUCGGAUUUACUGGGCGUAAAGGGCGCGUAGGCGGUUCGUUAAGUCGGAUGUGAAAACUCUGGGCUCAACCCAGAGACUGCAUCCGAUACUGGCGGACUAGAGUGCGAGAGGGGAAAGCGGAAUUCCUGGUGUAGCGGUGAAAUGCGUAGAUAUCAGGAGGAACACCGGCGGCGAAGGCGGCUUUCUGGAUCGCAACUGACGCUGAGGCGCGAAAGCUAGGGGAGCAAACAGGAUUAGAUACCC